CCUACGGGAGGCAGCAGUGAGGAAUAUUGGUCAAUGGACGAGAGUCUGAACCAGCCAAGUCGCGUGAAGGAUGACUGCCCUAUGGGUUGUAAACUUCUUUUAUAUGGGAAUAAAAUGUUCCACGUGUGGGAUUUUGUAUGUACCAUAUGAAUAAGGAUCGGCCAACUCCGUUCCAGCAGCCGCGGUAAUACGGGGGAUCCGAGCGUUAUCUGGAUUGAUUGGGUUAAAGGGCAGCGUAGGUGGAUUGUUAAGUCAGUUGUGAAAGUUUGCGGCUAAACCGGAAAAUUGCAGUUGAAACUGGCAGUCUUGAGUACAGUAGAGGUGGGCGGAAUUCGUGGUGUAGCGGUAAAAGGCUUAGAUAUC
rnacentral:rRNA from 1 species